rnacentral:rRNA from 1 species
UACGUAGGGUGCAAGCGUUAAUCGGAAUUACUGGGCGUAAAGCGUGCGCAGGCGGCUUUGCAAGACAGAUGUGAAAUCCCCGGGCUUAACCUGGGAACUGCAUUUGUGACUGCAGGGCUGGAGUGCGGCAGAGGGGGAUGGAAUUCCGCGUGUAGCAGUGAAAUGCGUAGAGAUGUGGAGGAAUACCGAUGGCGAAGGCAGCCCCCUGGGAUAACACUGACGCUCAUGCACGAAAGCGUGGGGAGCAAACAGG